rnacentral:lncRNA from 1 species
GGGCAAGAUGGCUGCGCCCACUGGCUUUGCUGAGGGGAAGGGGCUGUUACUCACACACGCUGGUCUGGGUUCAGAUCAGUUCUGUUCUCUGGUCUCCCGAGGCCCUUGGUUUAUGGGGUCCCCACGGAUGGAAGCUUUCCCCCCCUCAGCGGGUUUCCACUGAACCAGCAGCAGGAGUCCUGGAUGAUCCCCGGUUGUGCGGCCCCUCCCCCGCUCCUUCCCGACCUGCGCCGCAGCCAUCGCAGACUUUAGGGGAGGGAGAGACGUUCUCUCCCACCGUUCCAGCGCCUCCAAGGCUGUCUAGUGUCCGUACAAGAAGAGGAAGAGAUACUGGGAGCACAUGCGCACAGAGGAAAGACCUUGCGAGGACACAGUGAGAAAGCGACCAUUGGCAAGAAAAAGAGAGGGGUCUCAGAAGAAACCAAACCUGCUGAGACCUUGAUCUUGGACCUCUAGCCUUCAAAACUGUGAGAAAGCUUUCUCCGUGUGAUGGGGAAGGUGCACAGUGACCCAUAAGCCCAUAUACUUCAGAUUCGGCACGCAUAAAUCAAAUUUCAGAGAAGAGCCAGUUAAUCCCCUCCAGUUCUGCCUCUGCUGCUAGCACCCAAUUGACACCUUCACCAAUGUCAUAUGAAGCGAGGUAAUAGUGCAUUACAACUGUUGACUUUUUUGCCUUAAUUUUAUUUAUUUUUUUUGACGUUCAUUAAAUGACCCUUUCCUCAAUUUCUUCAUGCUUCUGUAUAUUCCUGUUCCUUCUCCUCUGAGUGUCCUUUGCUGACACCUUAAACACUGAGGUUCUUCCACCUCAGUCCACUUCUG